GCCGGGGCUUGGAACAGAGAUGGAGACAGACUCUGACUUCCUGUGACAGGAAGGAGACAGGUUCUAACUUCCUGUUACAGGUUGUAACUUCCUGUGACAGAACAGGGAUAGUUUCUAAGUUCCUGUGACAGAAUGGUGACAGCUCCCAACUCCCUGUGACAGGAGGGAGACAGGUUCUAACUUCCUGUUACAGGUUCUAACUUCUUGCAACAGAACGGUGAUAGCUUCCAACUUCCUGUGACAGGAGGGAGACGGGUUCUAACUUCCUGUGACAGAAUGGUGAUAGCCCCCAACUUCCUGUGACAGGAGGGAGACAGAUUCUAACUUCCUGUUAC